CUCCAUGAAGUUGUUUGAAACAUCCACAACCAGCUAGAUAAUGAAUCUGUAGAUGGCUAAAGUUAGAAAGAAGCAGCUCGGUCUCUAAACCCUGUACUUUAUUGCUGUUCUGCAGCAAUUUUUUAUUUUUACUCCUGAUGGCAUUGUAUUGUCCCCUUUCCUUCUGCAGGAAAAGAAAGUCAUGAUGUCACAGUAACUGUCAGCCUGAACGCUAUUCAGAAGGUGGGGUAUAUCCCUGCAGCAGGCUAAAUCAAGGGGUCAGAUUACUUGCAAGGAAAGCAGUGUAAGUGAAGAUCAUAUCCCAGAGAAGCUGUGGAUGCCUCAUGUGUGGAAGUGCUCAAGGCCAGGUUGGAUGGGCUUUGAACAACCUGGUCUAGUGGAAGAUUAAAGGCUGGAGGAGGAAUUGAGGGAUAAGAGGAAUGAAAACAAGAUGCAGUUCCUUUCUACUCAACAAAUAACCAUACUCU